UAAAAAAAGGUAAGCUACUAAGAGCGAAUGGUGGAUGCCUUGACUGGUAAAGGCGAUGAAGGACGUACUAGACUGCGAUAAGCUACGGGGAGCUGUCAAGAAGCUUUGAUCCGUAGAUUUCCGAAUGGGGCAACCCAAUGUAUAGAGAUAUACAUUACCUAUAUAGGAGCGAACGAGGGGAAUUGAAACAUCUUAGUACCCUCAGGAAAAGAAAUCAAUAGAGAUUGCGUCAGUAGCGGCGAGCGAAAGCGCAAGAGGGCAAACCCAGUGCUUGCACUGGGGGUUGUAGGACUGCAAUGUGCAAGAGGUAAGUUUAGCAGAACAUUCUGGAAAGUAUAACCAUAGAGGGUGAUAGUCCCGUAUGCGAAAAACAAACCUUAGCUAGCAGUAUCCUGAGUAGGGCGGGACACGAGGAAUCCUGUCUGAAUCCGGGUCGACCACGAUCCAACCCUAAAUACUAAUACCAGAUCGAUAGUGCACAAGUACCGUGAGGGAAAGGUGAAAAGAACUGAGGUGAUCAGAGUGAAAUAGAACCUGAAACCAUUUGCUUACAAUCAUUCAGAGCCCUAUGUAGCAAUACAGGGUGAUGGACUGCCUUUUGCAUAAUGAGCCUGCGAGUUGUGGUGUCUGGCAAGGUUAAGCAAACGCGAAGCCGUAGCGAAAGCGAGUCUGAAUAGGGCGCUUAGUCAGAUGCUGCAGACCCGAAACGAAGUGAUCUAUCCAUGAGCAAGUUGAAGCUAGUGUAAGAACUAGUGGAGGACUGAACCCAUAGGCGUUGAAAAGCCCCGGGAUGACUUGUGGAUAGGGGUGAAAGGCCAAUCAAACUUCGUGAUAGCUGGUUCUCUCCGAAAUAUAUUUAGGUAUAGCGUUGUGUCGUAAUAUAAGGGGGUAGAGCACUGAAUGGGCUAGGGCAUACACCAAUGUACCAAACCCUAUCAAACUCCGAAUACCUUAUAUGUAAUCACAGCAGUCAGGCGGCGAGUGAUAAAAUCCGUCGUCAAGAGGGAAACAACCCAGACUACCAGCUAAGGUCCCUAAGUCUUACUUAAGUGGAAAACGAUGUGAAGUUACUUAAACAACCAGGAGGUUGGCUUAGAAGCAGCCAUCCUUUAAAGAAAGCGUAAUAGCUCACUGGUCUAGUGAUUUUGCGCGGAAAAUAUAACGGGGCUAAAGUAAGUACCGAAGCUGUAGACUUGCACACAACUUAGAUUAUUUAAGUUUAGAAUAUGAGAAACUAAGUUAUAUGUUUAGUUAUAUUUUUACUGAUUUUUAUAGAGUAAAGAUAGAAAUAAAACUUAGUAAAAUCAGUAAAAAUAUUCUUAGACUAAAGUUAAGUAGUUUAAGUUGUGUGCAAGUGGUAGGAGAGCGUUCUAUUUGCGUCGAAGGUAUACCGGUAAGGAGUGCUGGAGCGAAUAGAAGUGAGCAUGCAGGCAUGAGUAGCGAUAAUUAAUGUGAGAAUCAUUAACGCCGUAAACCCAAGGUUUCCUACGCGAUGCUCGUCAUCGUAGGGUUAGUCGGGUCCUAAGUCGAGUCCGAAAGGGGUAGACGAUGGCAAAUUGGUUAAUAUUCCAAUACCAACAUUAGUGUGCGAUGGAAGGACGCUUAGGGCUAAGGGGGCUAGCGGAUGGAAGUGCUAGUCUAAGGUCGUAGGAGGUUAUACAGGCAAAUCCGUAUAACAAUACUCCGAGAACUGAAAGGCUUUUUGAAGUCUUCGGAUGGAUAGAAGAACCCCUGAUGCCGUCGAGCCAAGAAAAGUUUCUAAGUUUAGCUAAUGUUGCCCGUACCGUAAACCGACACAGGUGGGUGGGAUGAGUAUUCUAAGGCGCGUGGAAGAACUCUCUUUAAGGAACUCUGCAAAAUAGCACCGUAUCUUCGGUAUAAGGUGUGGUUAGCUUUGUAUUAGGAUUUACUCCGAAAGCAAGGAAACUUACAACAAAGAGUCCCUCCCGACUGUUUACCAAAAACACAGCACUCUGCUAACUCGUAAGAGGAUGUAUAGGGUGUGACGCCUGCCCGGUGCUCGAAGGUUAAUUGAUGGGGUUAGCAUUAGCGAAGCUCUUGAUCGAAGCCCGAGUAAACGGCGGCCGUAACUAUAACGGUCCUAAGGUAGCGAAAUUCCUUGUCGGUUAAAUACCGACCUGCAUGAAUGGCGUAACGAGAUGGGAGCUGUCUCAAAGAGGGAUCCAGUGAAAUUGUAGUGGAGGUGAAAAUUCCUCCUACCCGCGGCAAGACGGAAAGACCCCGUGGACCUUUACUACAGCUUGACACUGCUACUUGGAUAAGAAUGUGCAGGAUAGGUGGGAGGCUUUGAGUAUAUGACGCCAGUUGUAUAUGAGCCAUUGUUGAGAUACCACUCUUUCUUAUUUGGGUAGCUAACCAGCUUGAGUUAUCCUCAAGUGGGACAAUGUCUGGUGGGUAGUUUGACUGGGGCGGUCGCCUCCCAAAUAAUAACGGAGGCUUACAAAGGUUGGCUCAGAACGGUUGGAAAUCGUUCGUAGAGUAUAAAGGUAUAAGCCAGCUUAACUGCAAGACAUACAAGUCAAGCAGAGACGAAAGUCGGUCUUAGUGAUCCGGUGGUUCUGUGUGGAAGGGCCAUCGCUCAAAGGAUAAAAGGUACCCCGGGGAUAACAGGCUGAUCUCCCCCAAGAGCUCACAUCGACGGGGAGGUUUGGCACCUCGAUGUCGGCUCAUCGCAUCCUGGGGCUGGAGCAGGUCCCAAGGGUAUGGCUGUUCGCCAUUUAAAGCGGUACGCGAGCUGGGUUCAGAACGUCGUGAGACAGUUCGGUCCCUAUCUGCCGUGGGCGUAAGAAGAUUGAAGAGAUUUGACCCUAGUACGAGAGGACCGGGUUGAACAAACCACUGGUGUAGCUGUUGUUCUGCCAAGAGCAUCGCAGCGUAGCUAAGUUUGGAAAGGAUAAACGCUGAAAGCAUCUAAGCGUGAAGCCAACUCUAAGAUGAAUCUUCUCUAAGCUCUCUAGAAGACUACUAGUUUGAUAGGCUGGGUGUGUAAUGGAUGAAAGUCCUUUAGCUGACCAGUACUAAUAGAGCGUUUGGCUUAUCUUUAAUAAAGCAU
rnacentral:rRNA from 1 species